AAAGAAAAGAAGGGAGGGAAAAAGAACGGAAAGGAAACAAGAAACAGCACACCAUCACGGAAGAGCUACACUAUUACCGGGAGAGACGUCAUGAAUAAACUGAAUUAAAGAAUAUCAAAAGAACAUCAAAACGUCCAACGAAUAUCAAGGAUGCACAGGAAAAUCAAGAACCAAAUCAAGAAGCGGUAAUGAAAUAAAAUGAAUAUCAAUAACAGCGAUAACGUGUAUAUAAUAAACUAGAAUAUAUAAAUAUAAAUAUACUAAAAUAUAAAAUAUAGAAUAAAGAAUAACCGUAUGGAAACAAAUCAUAAAUAUAUUAAUACAAUCUACAGAACUUUGUACAAUCAUGAGUUAAAAUAAACUAAAUCAUAAUAA